UCAUCAUCACCAUUACUCCUGAUUAUCUUUCAGGCGUUUGGUGUGGCUUGGAAGAUAAUUUCUUCCGAGUGUGCGACAAAUAAGUCAUAGUAGGUUUAAAACCUCUCGGAAGUCAAACACCGAGAGGUUUUUUUA
rfam:[Haemophilus] felis strain CCTG 31170 31170T_ctg_0000005, whole genome shotgun sequence.